rfam:Folsomia candida strain VT population Fcan01_Sc010, whole genome shotgun sequence.
UCCCGUGUGGUCUAGUGGUUAGGAUCUCCCGCUCUCACCGGGAAGGCCCGGGUUCGAUUCCCGGCACGGGAA